UAAGGGCGCACGGUGGAUGCCUUGGCACUAGAAGCCGAUGAAGGACGUUACUAACGACGAUAUGCUUUGGGGAGCUGUAAGUAAGCUUUGAUCCAGAGAUUUCCGAAUGGGGAAACCCAGCAUGAGUUAUGUCAUGUUAUCGAUAUGUGAAUACAUAGCAUAUCAGAAGGCACACCCGGAGAACUGAAACAUCUUAGUACCCGGAGGAAGAGAAAGAAAAUUCGAUUCCCUUAGUAGCGGCGAGCGAAACGGGAAGAGCCCAAACCAACAAGCUUGCUUGUUGGGGUUGUAGGACACUCUAUACGGAGUUACAAAGGACGACAUUAGACGAAUCAUCUGGAAAGAUGAAUCAAAGAAGGUAAUAAUCCUGUAGUCGAAAAUGUUGUCUCUCUUGAGUGGAUCCUGAGUACGACGGAGCACGUGAAAUUCCGUCGGAAUCUGGGAGGACCAUCUCCUAAGGCUAAAUACUCUCUAGUGACCGAUAGUGAACCAGUACCGUGAGGGAAAGGUGAAAAGCACCCCGGAAGGGGAGUGAAAUAGAACCUGAAACCGUGUGCUUACAAGUAGUCAGAGCCCGUUAAUGGGUGAUGGCGUGCCUUUUGUAGAAUGAACCGGCGAGUUACGAUUUGAUGCAAGGUUAAGCAGUAAAUGUGGAGCCGUAGCGAAAGCGAGUCUGAAUAGGGCGUUUAGUAUUUGGUCGUAGACCCGAAACCAGGUGAUCUACCCUUGGUCAGGUUGAAGUUCAGGUAACACUGAAUGGAGGACCGAACCGACUUACGUUGAAAAGUGAGCGGAUGAACUGAGGGUAGCGGAGAAAUUCCAAUCGAACCUGGAGAUAGCUGGUUCUCUCCGAAAUAGCUUUAGGGCUAGCCUCAAGUGAUGAUUAUUGGAGGUAGAGCACUGUUUGGACGAGGGGCCCCUCUCGGGUUACCGAAUUCAGACAAACUCCGAAUGCCAAUUAAUUUAACUUGGGAGUCAGAACAUGGGUGAUAAGGUC
rnacentral:rRNA from 1 species